UCGGGAAUAUUGCGCAAUGGAGGAAACUCUGACGCAGUGACGCCGCGUGCAGGAAGAAGGUUUUCGGAUUGUAAACUGCUUUAGACAGGGGAAGAAAAAAGACAGUACCUGUAGAAUAAGCUCCGGCUAACUACGUGCCAGCAGCCGCGGUAAUACGUAGGGAGCGAGCGUUAUCCGGAUUUAUUGGGUGUAAAGGGUGCGUACACGGGAAAUUAAGUUAGUUGUGAAAUCCCUCGGCUCAACUGAGGAACUGCAACUCAAACUGAUAUUCUUGAGUACUGGAGAGGAAAGUGGAAUUCCUAGUGUAGCGGUGAAAUGCGUAGAUAUUAGGAGGAACACCAGUGGCGAAGGCGACUUUCUGGACAGAAACUGACGUUGAGGCACGAAAGUGUGGGGAGCAAACAGGAUUAGAUACC
rnacentral:rRNA from 1 species